AGUUGUUUGUCGUGCCACUAUCGUUUCUUAAUUUCCAGUUGCGUUAGUCCGCCGUAGGUUCGUCCUCACCCCCGAGCGAAAAAGCAGCAACCGAUCCCCACGGGAUACCCAAAUCAAUCAAUCAAUCAGUGCCGCGAUUGACUCCAGCGCUCGCCCAGAAAAACCAUCGUACAACAAACCAUCGUAACGCACUCCCGAUUAUCUCCAAUCCCGUGAUUAUCUCCAGGAAUCGAGCCGCCCGCGUCUCCAGAGACCGUGAUCGCCGCCUUGACUCAAGCCGCCGCACAAGCAACCGCCUCCUCAGAUCGAUGCCGGCGCCUCCAUCCUCCUACAACCGCUCGCCGUCGACCUCGACAACGCCCCUCGGCGCCACCUCACAGGAAUCACCUCGACGUCGCCACUAGCCGCCACCUCACGGGAAUCACGUCCAUGUACGGGAAUCGCCACCGCCAUCGACCUCGAUCCGGCCACCGCCCCGCCGGCUGCUGCUACAUUGCCUGCGCCACGCCGGCCGUUGCUGUAUUGUAUCGCUGGGCAGAAGGGUCUCCGUGGGCAGUUCCGUAUUCGAGCCCGUCUCACGCUCGAGGGCGGCUGUCGGAUCAGGAAUCGACAUGGGAGGCAAGCAGGGGACGCAGCAUACGUGACACGCACGUGUUUCUCACGGUGGGCCAAUCGACAUGGGAAGCAAGCAGGUCUCAAGCGCCCCGCGCCCGGGAGCAGCGUGCAUGCACAUGGAGGCACGGCUGUGCUGAUUGCACAAAACGUGUUUGACGAAAUGGCUCAAGGGUGCUGUGUUCACAAGAAAUGCUGUGCAGGACGCCCAUGUGUGGAUGAAUCUCCUGGUCUGCAAUUUGUAUGUUUCCUUUGAUCAUAUCAGAAUUCAAAGGUUUUUCCAUCCAGGUAAGCUAUGUGACCCUUGCUAGCUCGUGUUGGUUCCUAGACAUUAAUCUUGUUUAAACUAGCUAAGCUAAACAUUUCAAGAUUGAUUUAGUUACAUUUCAGAUAAAGUGGUUCCAUCGUGCUUGCCGUUCCAAGGAGCAUGCUUGCCGUUCCAGCUUGCCGCAACCAAAAGGCUCGCCGGAAUACUUGCCACAUGCUACAACUUAUCCAAUCUUAAGUAGUUCACAGUUGCAUCGAGUAGACUUCUCCAGCUGUUCUUCCUGCAUCCAUGGUAUGUGCCUCUUUCAAAUCUCCACUACCACUUGUAUAACUAGCUGAUUUCACUCAGCUCACAAAUCAAAACUUCAGAUUUUUAUUCAUCAGUAGUGUCAAGUGUGCUUGAAACUACUAGCGAUAUCAUAUAAGAGUGCUUGGGAAUAAUUUCAGGAAAAAAUAUAGUUUUUGUUGGCUAGGAGGUGCCUGCAGGAGCAAAGACAUUGGUACUCUAUAAAGUGUAUCUUCUGCAUCUUGGCUUAAACACUUGCCAACAUAUAUGAAAUGUAAUGGCAACACUAAACACAAUGUGAUGUGUCUUGAGCAAAUCAUCAAUGAGCAUGACCAAAGCUGGUGAGCUUGAUGGAGGAGCUCGGCCAAGAGAGGUGUACCUUGUGUGUCAUAUCUCAAAAAAUCAUAUACCGAGAUGUCUUGCAGGAUCUCACUAACAGGUACAAUUAAUUAUUGAUUGAGCCGUAUUGCAUAAAUGCCUACAUACUAAUCAUAAUCUCCAGGAUGCCUGUAAUCUACCUUCUGUGAUUCUAUCCUAUUAUACAGAACAUGUACCAAACUAUGCCAGUUGUUAACAUGAAGUCAUGUUCUUGUUUCUUCAGUCUCUCUUUCUUUCCUAAAAAAGUUGUGUACUCUGGCAUAUCUUAUAUUUGGUGAGAAGAUCAUUUGGUAGAAAUGAGGGGCUUGAAGAUACCAAUGGGAGGCUGUAGAGAAUGGCCACGUUGUUCUUGUAGGCUGCUAGUGAAGGUUUGCUCCUACCAUUUCAUCAGCUAAUAGAUGUGGUCCCAAUUGUUUUUAUCAUCAAUACUCAGGAUCUUUGUUUCCAAUUUGCCUCUCAGGCAUAUUUUUUAUUGUAAUAUAACUACUUGAACAAGCUUGCCUUAUUAAUAGAUUGGUCCGGUUUA